rnacentral:rRNA from 1 species
ACUCCUACGGGAGGCGGCAGUGGGGAAUAUUGGACAAUGGGCGAAAGCCUGAUCCAGCCAUGCCGCAUGAGUGAAGAAGGCCUUUGGGUUGUAAAGCUCUUUUAGUGAGGAAGAUAAUGACGGUACUCACAGAAGAAGUCCUGGCUAACUCCGUGCCAGCAGCCGCGGUAAUACGGAGAGGGCUAGCGUUAUUCGGAAUUAUUGGGCGUAAAGGGCGCGUAGGCUGGUUAAUAAGUUAAAAGUGAAAUCCCGAGGCUUAACCUUGGAAUUGCUUUUAAAACUAUUAAUCUAGAGAUUGAAAGAGGAUAGAGGAAUUCCUGAUGUAGAGGUAAAAUUCGUAAAUAUUAGGAGGAACACCAGUGGCGAAGGCGUCUAUCUGGUUCAAAUCUGACGCUGAAGCGCGAAGGCGUGGGGAGCAAACAGGAUUAGAAACCCGGGUAGUCC